CAGCAGGUGGCCUCUAGGAUUGAAGAGUGGACCCUGGCCAAUAGCUGGAAACAAAACAGGGGCCUGACUUGUAAAAACAGAGGAUUGAAUUCUGUCAAAAACCACAUAAGCCUUAAAACACUAUCCCAAGCUCCACAAAGGAAGGCAGCACAACCAACAAUUUUUUGAGGCCGAAUCUCUCUACCUUGCCCAGAUUGGUCUUGAACCCCUGGGUGCAAGUGAUCUUCUAAGCACAAGUGAUUUCCUCUUCCCCCACUUCAGCCUCCUGAGUAGCUGUAAUUACAGACACAUCACCAAACCUAGCUAAAGCCAUCAUCUUGAUUUCAGCUUUGAUGUGCUCUUGAGCACAGGGUCAAGCUAAUCUAUGCUCAGACACUUGACUAGUGGAAAUUAUUAGAUAGAAAAUGGGUGUUAUGCCAAUUAGUUUGCGACAAUUUAUUACACAGCAAAAGAAAACUAAUACAAUGUCAAAAGUUAUUUCUAUCUGAAUUCCAAAUGUUAGAACUAGACUAGAAACCAAAAUCAUUUAAAAUCCAAAUUUGUCACAUGUGAUUAAUAGUCCCAUUUUACUGUCUGAUAUAAAUGAUGAUGUAUUUGUUUGUUAAAUAAAAGAUAUGGACAUCAGAAAGAAUAAUAUUAACAAAGUUUGGGGGGCAAUGAAUUCAAUUUUAUAUCAAGCAAGUUGAAGUAAAUCUACUGUUGGGACCUAGAUCUUGUGCACUCCUACUCAUGCUGGUGACUGCAACAUUCUACGACUUCACAACCUCUAGAGUUACUUCAUUUUUUUUUUCUUUUAAGAAGCAACCAUAUUAAGUGACAGGAUUACUUCUUAAAAUACUUUAUACUUCUAGACUUAUAUAAUUUUAGAUGGUGCACUGGCUGUUCAUGUAAGUAAAAAUAAUUAACAAAUUUUGCAAACUUCUAAUUUUCUCAAAUACAAUUAAUCCCUUUAGAAAAACUAUUGCUUUGUUUUAUCAAGAAAGCAUGAGAGUACUAACAAAACAUUUAUAAUAAUGCUGAGUCUAAUUCUUAUAAUCAUGAUUAUGAUCAUUUAUUGGACUGUUAUCACUAGCCAGAUACUACGUAGAGUGUUAUAUGCAUAUUACUUUCUAAAAUUUUCCCCAUACAACAAAUAAUUGAGAUUGCAUCUAUUCAUACUCAUUCCAUUUUAUAUGGAAGGAACUGAGACCAGAAGCAGGGGAGAUUGAGAGUUAUUGUUCACUGGGUAUAGAGAUUUGGUUAUGCAAGACAAAAAUAACAACAUAACCAGUAAGCAAUAAAUUGAAGAAAUAAAAUUAACCUUUAUCCAUAGAGCUAAAACUUUUAACUACUGCACUAUUUCAAUUUAUUAGUACAGAAUCAUAGUGCUUACUUUUCAACCUACUCCAAACCCAAAACUCCUUCAUAUAGUCAAUAUUGUAAUUGAGUGGAACUGCAUUUAAUGAUGAAAUGUAAGUUUCUAUUUGUUAAAACACAUGCUUUUUCUGAUGUAAUAUAUUGUGAACAUUUUCUCACUAGUCACAUUAUAUUUCUCCACAAUACUAAAGAUGGUAAAGUGUCUUUUCUGGUUUGAGUGCUUUUUUACUUUAAUUUUUUUUUUGUCUAAUUGCUCUAGGUAGGAUUUCCAGUACUUUAUUGAACAUGUGAGUGAGCAUCUUUACCAUGUUUCUGAUCUUAGAGAAAAAACUUUCACGUUUUCAUUGUUGAGUAUAAUGUUAACUGUGGCUUUUUGUAUAUGGCCUUUAUUAUAUUGAGAUAAUUUAUUUCUAUUCCUUGUGUUUUAGUAUUUUUAAUUCAUGAAAAGAUGUUGAAUUUUGUCAGAUGCUUUUUCUGCAUCUAUUGAGUUAAUCCUGUGUUUUAAAAGCUUCCAUUCUGUUAAUAUAAUAUAGUGUAUCCUAUUGAUUCAUUUGUUUAUGUUGGAUCAUCCUUGUCUCACAAAAAUAAAUGCCACUUGGUCAUGCCAUGAG
rnacentral:lncRNA from 10 species